UUUUCUAGUACACUGCGAACGGAGAAAACGAGGUACCUGUGAAAUUUUUACGACAUGAAAAGUAAACAGUUCAAUCCUAUGACUUCAUAGUAUGAAUGGAAAUUAUGCACAAAAAAUGGCGACCACCUCCAAAACCGAGCAGGUUGAAUGGCCAUCUAAAGAAAAAGAAUAGGGAAAUAAAACAUGCGUCAGGGUGAAAUUUUUCUGUUAGCCUUUGGAAUUUUACUGAUUUUACUGGCGUCCAUUUACUUUUUGAGGUGCAAUAAAGAGAAACUCAAGGACUGUUGUACAAUUUAUUGCGAGUGUUUCCUGUCGCUUGGAGACUGUACAUGGUGCAGACAAAGGUUCUCUUCAGUGUUGAGAAGAUCCAGUGGUGAAAUGAGGACUAAUAGACAAGAUGUCAGUACAGUUGGGGAAGAAAAUCCGGGAAUUUAUAACGUUAGCUUUGACCCCCCGUCCUAUGAUUCUGUGAUAUCUGACAACAGAGACCCCGAUUUACCCACUUAUGAAGAGGCAAUAUCUCGUGUUAAUGAUUUACGUAGUGAAAACAAAGCAUGAUUUCAGUGUCUGGGUGUUGUUAUGUGCGUGUUUGUGAGGUUGAGUGCGUGUUUAUGUGAAUUGCAAUAAAUUGUUGAAAUAUGCAUUUUACAUCAUACAAGUUUCAAAGAAGCAUGAAUACAACAUUGCAAUAAGUGAA